rnacentral:rRNA from 1 species
UACAGAGGGUGCGAGCGUUGUCCGGAAUCACUGGGCGUAAAGGGCGCGUAGGCGGCUCGGUAAGCGUGCGGUGAAAGCCCGGGGCUCAACCCCGGGUCGGCCGUGCGAACUCCGGAGCUGGAGCACUGUAGGGGCAGGUGGAAUUCCGGGUGUAGCGGUGGAAUGCGUAGAGAUCCGGAAGAACACCGGUGGCGAAGGCGGCCUGCUGGGCAGUUGCUGACGCUGAGGCGCGACAGCGUGGGGAGCAAACAGG